AAAGCUCAAAUUUGAAAUCUGGCGUCUUCGACGUCCGAGUUGUAAUUUGAAGAAGGCGACUUUGUAGCUGGUCCUUGUCUAUGUUCCUUGGAACAGGACGUCAUAGAGGGUGAGAAUCCCGUGUGGCGAGGAUCCCAGUUAUUUGUAAAGUGCUUUCGACGAGUCGAGUUGUUUGGGAAUGCAGCUCUAAGUGGGUGGUAAAUUCCAUCUAAAGCUAAAUAUUGGCGAGAGACCGAUAGCGAACAAGUACAGUGAUGGAAAGAUGAAAAGAACUUUGAAAAGAGAGUGAAAAAGUACGUGAAAUUGUUGAAAGGGAAGGGCAUUUGAUCAGACAUGGCGUUUGCUUCGGCUUUCGCUGGGCCAGCAUCAGUUUUAGCGGUUGGAUAAAUCCUCGGGAAUGUGGCUCUGCUUCGGUAGAGUGUUAUAGCCCGUGGGAAUACAGCCAGCUGGGACUGAGGAUUGCGACUUUUGUCAAGGAUGCUGGCGUAAUGGUUAAAUG
rnacentral:rRNA from 1 species